UACGUAGGGGGCAAGCGUUGUCCGGAAUCAUUGGGCGUAAAGCGCGUGUAGGCGGUUCAGUAAGUCUGCUGUGAAAGUCCAGGGCUCAACCCUGGGAUGCGGGUGGAUACUGCCGGGCUCGAGUCCGGAAGAGGCGAGUGGAAUUCCCGGUGUAGCGGUGAAAUGCGCAGAUAUCGGGAGGAACACCAAUGGCGAAGGCAGCUCGCUGGGACGUGACUGACGCUGAGACGCGAAAGCGUGGGGAGCAAACAGG
rnacentral:rRNA from 1 species